GAUGAACGCUAGCGGCAGGCUUAAUACAUGCAAGUCAAGGGGGUAGCAAUACAACCGGCGCACGGGUGAGUAACGCGUACACAACAUACCAUAUACUGGAGUAUAGCUUUGGGAAACUGAAGGUAAUCCUCCAUAACAUUGCGAGAGGGCAUCUGAUUGCAAUUAAAGUUUCGGCGGUAUAUGAUUGGUGUGCGUUUGAUUAGCUAGUUGGUAGGGUAACGGCCUACCAAGGCGACGAUCAAUAGCUGGCGUGAGAGCGCGACCAGCCACACUGGAACUGAGACACGGUCCAGACUCCUACGGGAGGCAGCAGUAGGGAAUAUUGGACAAUGGAGGAAACUCUGAUCCAGCCAUGCCGCGUGAUAGAUGAAGGCCCUCUGGGUUGUAAAUAUCUUUUAUCUGGGAGAAACAACUCCUAUUCUUAGGAACUUGACGGUACCAGAGGAAUAAGCACCGGCUAAACUCCGUGCCAGCAGCCGCGGUAAU
rnacentral:rRNA from 1 species